UUAAGCAUAUCAAUAAGCGGAGGAAAAGAAACCAACAGGGAUUGCCUCAGUAACGGCGAGUGAAGCGGCAACAGCUCAAAUUUGAAAUCUGGAGCCUUCGGCUUCCGAGUUGUAAUUUGAAGAGGAUGUUUCGGUUGCGGCUUGGGCCUAAGUUCCUUGGAACAGGACGUCAUGGAGGGUGAGAAUCCCGUAAAUGGCCCCCGGCUUGCUUCCAUGUGAAGCUCCUUCGAAGAGUCGAGUUGUUUGGGAAUGCAGCUCAAAAUGGGUGGUAAAUUUCAUCUAAAGCUAAAUAUUGGCGGGAGACCGAUAGCGCACAAGUAGAGUGAUCGAAAGAUGAAAAGCACUUUGAAAAGAGAGUUAAACAGUACGUGAAAUUGUUGAAAGGGAAGCGCUUGCAAUCAGACUCGCUUUCGGUUGAUCAACGUUCCUUCUGGUUCGUGCACUCUGCCGUUUGCGGGCCAGCAUCAGUUGGGGCGGCGGGACAAAGACGGCGGGAAUGUGGCUCCCCUCGGGGAGUGUUAUAGCCCACCGUGCCAUGCCGCCAGCCCCGAUUGAGGUCCGCGGUUCGCCUAGGAUGCUGGCUUAAUGGUUGUAAGCGACCCGUCUUGAAACACGGACCAAGGAGUCUAACAUCUAUGCGAGUCUUUGGGUGCCAAACCCAUGGGCGGAAUGAAAGUGAACGGAGGUGGGAGUCCUCGGAUGCACCAUCGACCGAUCCUGAUGUUUUCGGAUGGAUUUGAGUAUGAGCAUAGCUGUUGGGACCCGAAAGAUGGUGAACUAUGCCUGAAUAGGGUGAAGCCAGAGGAAACUCUGGUGGAGGCUCGCAGCGGUUCUGACGUGCAAAUCGAUCGUCAAAUUUGGGUAUAGGGGCGAAAGACUAAUCGAACCAUCUAGUAGCUGGUUCCUGCCGAAGUU
rnacentral:rRNA from 1 species